rnacentral:rRNA from 1 species
GAUGAACGCUGGCGGCGUGCCUAAUACAUGCAAGUCGAGCGAACAGACGAGGAGCUUGCUCCUCUGACGUUAGCGGCGGACGGGUGAGUAACACGUGGAUAACCUACCUAUAAGACUGGGAUAACUUCGGGAAACCGGAGCUAAUACCGGAUAAUAUAUUGAACCGCAUGGUUCAAUAGUGAAAGACGGUUUUGCUGUCACUUAUAGAUGGAUCCGCGCCGCAUUAGCUAGUUGGUAAGGUAACGGCUUACCAAGGCAACGAUGCGUAGCCGACCGGAGAGGGGGGUCGGCCACACUGGAACUUAGACACGGUCCAGACGCCUACGGGAGGCAGCAGUAGGGAAUCGUCCGCAAUGGGCGAAAGCUUGACGGAGCAACGCCGCGUGAGUGAUGAAGGUCUUCGGAUCGUAAAACUCUGUUAUGAGUGAAGAACAAAUGUGUAAGUAACUAUGCACGUCUUGACGGUACCUAAUCAGAAAGCCACGGCUAACUACGUG